rnacentral:rRNA from 1 species
UAGCAAUACUUAGUGGCAGACGGGUGAGUAACAUGUGGGUAUCUGCCCUUUGGCCUGGAAUAACACGAGGAAACUUGUGCUAAUACCGGAUAAGUCUUUACGGAGAAAGCUUUAUGCACCAUUGGAUGAGCCUGCACUUGAUUAGUUUGUUGGUGGGGUAAUGGCCUACCAAGACUUUGAUCAAUAGCUGAUUUGAGAGGAUGAUCAGCCACAUUGGGACUGAGACACGGCCCAAACUCCUACGGGAGGCAGCAGUGGGGAAUCUUGCACAAUGGAGGAAACUCUGAUGCAGCGAUGCCGCGUGAGUGAAGAAGGCCUUUGGGUUGUAAAGCUCUUUCGUCGGGGAAGAAAAUGACUGUACCCGAAUAAGAAGGUCCGGCU